UUAUGAGAGAAAGGCAGAGGGAGAUUUGACACACACAGGAGGGGCCAUGUGGAGACAGAGGUGGAGACUGGAGAAAUGUGGCCACAAGCCAGGGAACACCAGCAGCCACCAGAAGCCGGAAGACGUGAGGCAGGGUUCUUCCCAGAGCCUUCGCUGCUGAGUCUGGGAAUUUGUUACCGAAGCCAUAAGAAGUGGGCACACGCCCUGAGCCUCCCACACUUGCUCACCUGUCCUGAGAUGAGAAUCUCUACUCUGCAGCAUAUUUGGAGGAUCACUGCGGGGGCCACAGAGGUGCUGUUCAGAUGGCACUUCAGAAGACUCAGGAGACCCUGGGGCAGGAGCAGUUUGACUGACAGCCCAGAGGGCUGCCCUCUGAUUCCACCUGAGGCCCUGCUUUUCCUGGCUGCAGGGGUUCCAGGGCCAGGCCAUUUCCGCUGGCGCAGGACUCUGCUAGCAGCAACCUGCCUGAAGUCUUCCUUUGGCCUGGCUGAGAGUUUCUGAGACCUGCGCUGGAGCGGAGGUGCUUCCUUCCUUGCUUCCCUUCUUCCUCUCUCCCUUCUCCAUCCAGCAGGCUGGACCUGCCUGGCAUCUGUGAGCUCUCCCUACUUUCUCCUACACCCUAACCUUUGUCCUGCACGGGCGACUCCCCCAGUGAGUCUCUUGCAGCUUUUACCCCAGUGCCUGCUUCUUGGAGAAUCCAAACUGAUCCAGUUAGGGAUGAUAAAGUGUAGGGUAGGCGCUCGGUGACUGUUUUCUCUGAGGUUGUGACUCGUGUGAGGCAGAAGCAGUUCCCGUGAGCCCUCCUGGUAUCUUGUGGAGUGGAGAACGCUUGGACCUGGAGCCAGGAGGCCCAGACAUACAUCCUGUCCGAGCUGCAGCUUCCUGUCUCUAAAAUGAGCCGGCCAGCACAGGUGGCCAGACGUCACUGUUAUUCUCCUUUGAGUCUUUAAAUCUUGUUGUCUUUCUUGCAGACUCGGUGAGCUGUGGAAAGGCUAUAAUAGGGGCUUUAUUUUACACUUUGAUACUAUUUUUUGAACAUUCAUAUUAUUGUUAGAUAUUGAUAUUCAUAUGAAGGAGCAGGAUGAGUUGGGUCCUUCUUGGCAGUAGCAUUGCCAGCUGAUGGCCUUGGACAGUUACCUGCCCUCUCUAGGCCUCCCUUUCCUUGUCUAUGAAAUACAUUAUAGAAUAGGAUGUAGUGUGUGAGGAUUUUUUGGAGGUUAAACGAGUGAAUAUAUUUAAGGCGCUUUCACCAGCGCCUGGGAUGUGCUCUGUAGUUUCUGUGUGUUAACUAUAAGGUUGACUUUAUGCUCAUUCCCUCCUCUCCCACAAAUGUCGCCUUGGAAAGAUGGAGGCAGCCUGGUGGAGGUGUAUCUCCUAGACACCAGCAUACAGAGUGACCACCGGGAAAUCGAGGGCAGGGUCAUGGUCACCGACUUCGAGAAUGUGCCCGAGGAGGACGGGACCCGCUUCCACAGACAGGCCAGCAAGUGUGACAGUCAUGGCACCCACCUGGCAGGGGUGGUCAGCGGCCGGGAUGCCGGCGUGGCCAAGGGUGCCAGCAUGCGCAGCCUGCGCGUGCUCAACUGCCAAGGGAAGGGCACGGUUAGCGGCACCCUCAUAGGCCUGGAGUUUAUUCGGAAAAGCCAGCUGGUCCAGCCUGUGGGGCCACUGGUGGUGCUGCUGCCCCUGGCGGGUGGGUACAGCCGCGUCCUCAACGCCGCCUGCCAGCGCCUGGCGAGGGCUGGGGUUGUGCUGGUCACCGCUGCCGGCAACUUCCGGGACGAUGCCUGCCUCUACUCCCCAGCCUCAGCUCCCGAGGGGAGGACAUCAUUGGUGCCUCCAGCGACUGCAGCACCUGCUUUGUGUCACAGAGUGGGACAUCACAGGCUGCUGCCCACGUGGCUGGCAUUGCAGCCAUGAUGCUGUCUGCCGAGCCGGAGCUCACCCUGGCCGAGUUGAGGCAGAGACUGAUCCACUUCUCUGCCAAAGAUGUCAUCAAUGAGGCCUGGUUCCCUGAGGACCAGCGGGUACUGACCCCUAACCUGGUGGCCGCCCUGCCCCCCAGCACCCAUGGGGCAGGUUGGCAGCUGUUUUGCAGGACUGUGUGGUCAGCACACUCGGGGCCUACACGGAUGGCCACAGCCGUCGCCCGCUGCGCCCCAGAUGAGGAGCUGCUGAGCUGCUCCAGUUUCUCCAGGAGUGGGAAGCGGCGGGGCGAGCGCAUGGAGGCUGCAGCUCCCACUGGGAGGUGGAGGACCUUGGCACCCACAAGCCGCCUAUGCUGAGGCCACGAGGUCAGCCCAACCAGUGCGUGGGCCACAGGGAGGCCAGCAUCCACGCUUCCUGCUGCCGUGCCCCAGGUCUGGAAUGCAAAGUCAAGGAGCAUGGAAUCCCGGCCCCUCAGGAGCAGGUGACCGUGGCCUGCGAGGAGGGCUGGACCCUGACUGGCUGCAGUGCCCUCCCUGGGACCUCCCACGUCCUGGGGGCCUACGCCGUAGACAACACGUGUGUAGUCAGGAGCCGGGACGUCAGCACUGCAGGCAGCACCAGUGAAGAGGCCGUGGCAGCCGUUGCCAUCUGCUGCCGGAGCCGGCACCUGGCACAGGCCUCCCAGGAGCUCCAGUGACAGCCCCAUCCCAGGAUGGGUGUCUGGGGAGGGUCAAGGGCUGGGGCUGAGCUUUAAAAUGGUUCCGACUUGUCCCUCUCUCAGCCCUCCGUGGCCUGGCACGAGGGGAUGGGGAUGCUUCCGCCUUUCUGGGGCUGCUGGCCUGGCCCUUGAGUGGGGCAGGCUCCUUGCCUGGAACUCACUCACUCUGGAUGCCUCCUCCCCAGGUGGAGGUGCCAGGAAGCUCCCUCCCUCACUGUGGGGCAUUUCACCAUUGAAACAGGUCGAGCUGUGCUCGGGUGCUGCCAGCUGCUCCCAAUGUGCCGACGUCCGUGGGCAGAAUGACUUUUAGUGAGCUCUUGUUCCAUGCCAGGCAUUCAAUCCUCAGGUCUCCACCAAGGAGGCAGGAUUCUUCCCAUGGAUAGGGGAGGGAGUGGUAGGGGCUGCAGGGACAAACAUCGUUGAGGGGGUGAGUGUGAAAGGUGCUGAUGGCCCUCAUCUCCAGCUAACUGUGGAGAAGCCCCUGGGGGCUCCCUGAUUAAUGGAGGCUUAGCUUUCUGGAUGGCAUCUAGCCAGAGGCUGGAGACAGGUGCGCCCCUGGUGGUCACAGGCUGUGCCUUGGUUUCCUGAGCCACCUUUACUCUGCUCUAUGCCAGGCUGUGCUAGCAACACCCAAGGGUGGCCUGCGGGGAGCCAUCACCUAGGACUGACUCGGCAGUGUGCAGUGGUGCACGCACUGUCUCAGCCAACCCGCUCCACUACCCGGCGGGGUACACAUUCGCACCCCUACUUCACAGAGGAAGAAACCUGGAACCAGAGGGGGCGUGCCUGCCAAGCUCACACAGCAGGAACUGAGCCAGAAACGCAGAUUGGGCUGGCUCUGAAGCCAAGCCGCUUCUUACUUUACCCGGCUGGGCUCCUCAUUUUUACGGGUAACAGUGAGGCUGGGAAGGGGAACACAGACCAGGAAGCUCGGUGAGUGAUGGCAGAACGAUGCUGCAGGCACGGAACUUUUUCCGUUAUCACCUGGGCCUGAUUCACUGGCCUGGCGGAGAUGCUUCUAAGGCAUGGUCGGGGGAGAGGGACAACUGUCCCUCCUUGAGCACCAGCCCCACCCAAGCAAGCAGACAUUUAUCUUUUGGGUCUGUCCUCUCUGUUGCCUUUUUACAGCCAACUUUUCUAGACCUGUUUUGCUUUUGUAACUUGAAGAUAUUUAUUCUGGGUUUUGUAGCAUUUUUAUUAAUAUGGUGACUUUUUAAAAUAAAAACAAACGUUGUCCU
rnacentral:sRNA from 1 species